rnacentral:rRNA from 1 species
UACGUAGGGGGCAAGCGUUGUCCGGAUUUAUUGGGCGUAAAGCGCUCGCGGGCGGUCCGAUGCGUCGUGCGUGAAAGACCCCGGCUCAACUGGGGAGGGUCGUGCGAUACGGUCGGACUCGAGGCCAGUAGGGGGACGCGGAAUUCCGGGUGUAGUGGUGGAAUGCGUAGAGAUCCGGAGGAACACCAGUGGCGAAGGCGACUACCUGGCCUGUUCUUGACGCUGAGGCGCGAAAGCUAGGGGAGCAAACGGG